GCCAGGCUCAGAAAAGACAAACAGCUCAUGUCCUCCUUAACAGCCUAUGGAUGAGGACACACCUUUGAAGUGGACAUGAAAAUGAGGUUCUGAUGGAUCAGCAUCAUUCACUUCAUGCAAGAAAGAACUUUGUAACCUGUAACAGAUGCACAGUAUUUGUGAAAAAGACAGGAAGAAACCAACAAAGCAG